rnacentral:rRNA from 1 species
AUUGAACGCUGGCGGCAGGCCUAACACAUGCAAGUCGAGCGGAUGAAGGGAGCUUGCUCCUGGAUUCAGCGGCGGACGGGUGAGUAAUGCCUAGGAAUCUGCCUGGUAGUGGGGGAUAACGUCCGGAAACGGGCGCUAAUACCGCAUACGUCCUGAGGGAGAAAGUGGGGGAUCUUCGGACCUCACGCUAUCAGAUGAGCCUAGGUCGGAUUAGCUAGUUGGUGGGGUAAAGGCCUACCAAGGCGACGAUCCGUAACUGGUCUGAGAGGAUGAUCAGUCACACUGGAACGGAGACAGGGUGAGGGGUACGCCGAGACGCAUCAGGGGGGAAGAGUGGACAAUGGGCGAGACCCUGAGCCAGCCAUGCGGAGUGGGGGAAGAAGGUCAUCGAAUUGUAAAGCACUUUAACGUGGUAGGAAGGGCAGGAAGCUAAUACCUGGCUGCCUGGACGUGACCAACAGAACAAGGACCCGCUAACCUCGUC